GAGGUAUUGCCGCACCAGGUGUCCUCUGGGAAUGGGGCUGGUGCGGCACUGGGCGAAUCGGGCCCUUGCCGGGGCACGAGACGCGAUUUCAAGUCGGUCGGCGUCUGAGAGGUUCGAACUCUCAGGCGCCGCCG
rnacentral:ncRNA from 1 species